GACGGUAUAGCUCGGAGGUAGAGCAUUCGACUGCAGAUUGAGAGGUCUCCGGUUCAAACCCGGAUGCUCCCU